rfam:Loxodonta africana unplaced genomic scaffold scaffold_14, whole genome shotgun sequence.
UCUUUGGCCCUUCUUAGGGCCACUUUUAAAAAAUUAUUAUUUUACU